CACCGAGGCGACGAUGCGUAGGGGUUCUGAGAGGAAGGUCCCCCACACUGGUACUGAGACACGGACCAGACUCCUACGGGAGGCAGCAGUGAGGAAUAUUGGUCAAUGGCCGGGAGGCUGAACCAGCCAAGUCGCGUGAGGGAAGACGGCCCUACGGGUUGUAAACCUCUUUUGUCAGGGAGCAAGAGGCGGGUCGAGACCUGCUGUGAGAGUACCUGAAGAAAAAGCAUCGGCUAACUCCGUGCCAGCAGCCGCGGUAAUACGGAGGAUGCGAGCGUUAUCCGGAUUUAUUGGGUUUAAAGGGUGCGCAGGCGGAGGCACAAGUCAGCGGUAAAAUCGCGGGGCUCAACCCCGCUCCGCCGUUGAAACUGUGUCCCUUGAGUGCGCGAAGGGUAGGCGGAAUGCGUGGUGUAGCGGUGAAAUGCAUAGAUAUCACGCAGAACUCCGAUCGCGAAGGCAGCCUACCGGCGCGCAACUGACGCUCAUGCACGAAAGCGUGGGUAUCGAACAGGAUUAGAUACCCUGGUAGUCCACGCAGUAAACGAUGAAUGCUAUCUGUCCGGCCGGAAUGACGGCUGGGUGGC
rnacentral:rRNA from 1 species